UACGGAGACUGCGAGCGUUACUCGGAUUCACUGGGCGUAAAGGGUGCGCAAGCGGUGAUGUAUGUCAGGUGUGAAAUCCCGGGGCUUAACUCCGGAAGUGCGCCUGAAACUGCAUUACUAGAGGCUUGGAGGGGACAGCAGAAUUUCUGGUGUAGCGGUGAAAUGCGUAGAUAUCAGAAGGAAUACCAAUGGCGAAGGCAGCUGUCUGGACAAGAUCUGACGCUCAUGCACGAAAGCGUGGGGGAGCAAAAA
rnacentral:rRNA from 1 species